rnacentral:lncRNA from 1 species
GUUUUUCCUCCAUCUGGAAAGAAUUUAUAAAAUGUUUAAUUUAUAAAUAGAUGGAAAUUAGUGGUAAAUAAGUGGAUCGUACUUCUGAGUCAAUUAGAAUGUAUGAUUAAAAAUAAAGUUUGACUAUUUAUAAAUGAUUUUUGAAAGUAGAAUAUUUGAUGGAAGGUCGGGGAAUCCUUUUGAGCAACCCGUUCUAAUAGGAAAGCCUAUAUUUUUCAGUGGUGGUUUACAAUCGGUUUAUGCACUAAUGAAGAUCUUUAUACUAGAGCUCAUUUUCUUUUAUUUCUUUCUACCAUAUCCUUACAACUGAAAUGGAAACCAAGCUUUUUGUUGUUCGAAAAUGUCGAAUCUCUUCUAAAUCAUUUGUCAUGAGUUUUAUAGACUAUGAUUCCAUACCCUACAAAUUAUCAAAUUCCUUUCCAGUUUUAGAGUUCUCAACAACAAAACACCCUCCCAAACCUCCAUUUUUCCUACUCGUUGCCCCCUAGUUUUGCCCUUCCUCUAAGAGGUUUUUGUGUAACAAGCGUGUAAUGUCCACUGAAAUGUCCAUGGGUUUUAUCAUCAACACAAUUCCAUGAUUUAUUAAGAAACUUGUAAAUUUUAUAACUAUACCAUGUUCAUAGUUCACAUAUUAACAUAAUAUAAUGUGUAAUACAGGGAUGAAAUCUCAACAAC